rnacentral:lncRNA from 1 species
GGCAUUGCUUUGGGAGCAGCCUUUUGUCAUCUGCAGGGUAAAAGAGGUGCUGGCUUAAAGGGCUUUGCAUCAGACCGUGAGUUACAGCAGACCUUCAGAUAGCUGUUCUGCAGAGCAUUUGUGGAUGAAAGUGUAUGAGUCAAACUGGAAUUAACUCCUUUCUAUGAGGAGCUUUGUUCCUCCUGUGCUCUCCCCGGGCUGUAUGAAGGCAUCACGGCUGGUGCCAGGCUGGGCACUCACUGCACUUCCCAGCUCAAUUCUGCUUCAGCAAAUAAGAGCUAGGUGCAAUGUGAUAGAUGCUCUGCCACCAAGUGUACGGCUGAGUGGUAAUAGAAGAUGAGAUAGAUUCCUGUGAAAUAAUAUUGCUCACUCCUGGUUUUGCUUCUAUCUAUCUGAAAUGUAAAAUAAACUGGGCAUGUUCAAAAAAAGUUUCA